rnacentral:rRNA from 1 species
CCUACGGGUGGCAGCAGUGGGGAAUAUUGGACAAUGGGGGGAACCCUGAUCCAGCGACGCCGCGUGAGUGAAGAAGUCUUUCGGUAUGUAAAGCUCUUUUAGCAGGGAAGAAAGAAAUGACGGUACCUGACUAAGAAGCCCCGGCUAACUACGUGCCAGCAGCCGCGGUAAUACGUAGGGGGCAAGCGUUAUCCGGAUUUACUGGGUGUAAAGGGAGCGUAGACGGCGAUGCAAGUCUGAAGUGAAAGGCCGGGGCGCAACCCCGGGACUGCAUUGGAAACUGUUUGGCGUGAGUGAAGGAGAGGUAAGUGGAAUUCCUAGUGUAGCGGUGAAAUGCGUAGAUAUUAGGAGGAACACCAGUGGCGAAGGCGGCUUACUGGACUGUAACUGACGUUGAGGCGCGAAAGCGUGGGGAGCAAACAGGAUUAGAUACCCGUGUAGUC